rnacentral:rRNA from 1 species
AUUGAACGCUGGCGGCAGGCCUAACACAUGCAAGUCGAGCGGAUGAAGGGAGCUUGCUCCUGGAUUCAGCGGCGGACGGGUGAGUAAUGCCUAGGAAUCUGCCUGGUAGUGGGGGAUAACGUCCGGAAACGGGCGCUAAUACCGCAUACGUCCUGAGGGAGAAAGUGGGGGAUCUUCGGACCUCACGCUAUCAGAUGAGCCUAGGUCGGAUUAGCUAGUUGGUGGGGUAAAGGCCUACCAAGGCGAAGAUCCGUAACUGGUCUGAGAGGAUGAUCAGUCACACUGGAACUGAGACACGGUCCAGACUCCUACGAGAGGCAGCAGUGGGGAAUAUUGGACAAUGGGCGAAAGCCUGAUCCAGCCAUGCCGCGUGUGUGAAGAAGGUCUUCGGAUUGUAAAGCACUUUAAGUUGGGAGGAAGGGCAGUAAGUUAAUACCUUGCUGUUUUGACGUUACCAACAGAAUAAGCACCGGCUAACUUCGUG